GUGCCAGCCGCCGCGGUAAUACGGAGGGAGCUAGCGUUGUUCGGAAUUACUGGGCGUAAAGCGCACGUAGGCGGCUUUUUAAGUCAGGGGUGAAAUCCCGGGGCUCAACCCCGGAACUGCCCUUGAAACUGGGAAGCUAGAAUCUUGGAGAGGCGAGUGGAAUUCCGAGUGUAGAGGUGAAAUUCGUAGAUAUUCGGAAGAACACCAGUGGCGAAGGCGACUCGCUGGACAAGUAUUGACGCUGAGGUGCGAAAGCGUGGGGAGCAAACAGGAUUAGAUACCCCCGUAGUCC
rnacentral:rRNA from 1 species